UGCAGUGUCUACUAGAAAUGCUGGAUCUCCGGGGACUGUAGUUCAGCCGUUUGUGAGGUGACACAUCUCAGAUCAGCCAUGAACCUGACCGUGACCCACUUCAGCUGCUGCUGGGGCUGCGGCCUCUCCAUCACGGCCACACCCACUAAGUGCACAGAGCUAGCUCACAUACAAAGUUAUUCCUGCAGCGUGUCUGGCCCUCGAAGGCCACAGAUCACAUGUCCCUUCUAGCCUCAUCUCCUGAGGACUCCUCCAGGAAGAGCUCUGCCACAGUGCCCCUUUAGAGGUGCUGAUGGGCAUCAGCUAAGCCUAUGCUGGUGUAACCGGUCCGCAGGCACCAGGUGCAGCUGAAAGAGGCCUAACUCCAAUGGCGGUUCCCACUCACCACUCACGACUCACCACUGACCACCAAGUCCUCCAGCAGUGUUAAGUCGCCCCUGGAUACCAGGUCUCCAUCCAGCAGAGUGGCCUUCAGAGCUGACCAAUCGGAACACCAAAUCCCCUCAGGUGGCUGGGAUUGGCUCUAGAGUGAGCACCUGACCCAAGCUGAGCCAAUAAUCCUUGGGGAUUCCCUUGAAACUUGAACAAAAAACUUAAGAGGACCUGUUUGGAGAACAAAGCCAGCAUGGGUCCCCGAGGGCAUGGUUCAAGCACCUGGAUCCAGCCAUGCCUGAAAUCAGUUUCAUGGAUCAAUAAAUCCCUCUUUUUGCCUAA